GCCGUGGCCUACUGGUUAGUGCUUCGGACUUGUAACCGGAAGGGUUGCCGGUUCGAACCCCGACCAGUAGGCA
rnacentral:tRNA from 1 species